rnacentral:rRNA from 1 species
UACGUAGGGGGCAAGCGUUGUCCGGAUUUAUUGGGCGUAAAGAGCGUGUAGGCGGUCUGGUAGGUCCGUUGUGAAAACUCGAGGCUCAACCUCGAGACGCCGAUGGAAACCAUCAGACUAGAGUCCGGAAGAGGAGAGCGGAAUUCCUGGUGUAGCGGUGAAAUGCGCAGAUAUCAGGAAGAACACCCGUGGCUAAGGCGGCUCUCUAGUACGGUACUGACGCUGAGACGCGAAAGCGUGGGGAGCGAACAGG